AUGGUGGAAAGAAACAAAGGCAACCUCUUUACCUUUGGACAAUCUAACAUUUCAAUCUCCUCAAUUGAAUCGCAGAUCAUGGUUGCCUUGCAAACGUUCUUCAGUUGUGGCAGGUUAUCCAGACGCAACCACCUCAAUUUCGGAAGGAUGACAGUGGCAGUGGCUCCUUCACUUGAAGUCAAUUGGGUGCCUUCUCCUCCUCCUUGUCCUACUCCAUUGCCAUCUGCUGCUAUCUCCUCCAGUCCUUCACAAUCUUUAACUGCUAAUUUUCCAAGAUUUUGAAGGAUCUGCAGCAACUGCACCGUGAAUAGCUGCUUCAUGUUAUGAUAUCCAGAAAUGCUCAAUUUUUUGAGGGAAGAAAAGGUGCCAGCUGAAAGCAAAUAUGGUGGUCCGUCGAUGGUGGAAAGAAACGAAGGCAGCCUCUUUAAAUUUGGACAAUCUAACAUUGUAAUCUCCUCAAUUGAUUCGCAGAUCAUGGUUGCCUUGCAAAUGUUCUUCAGUUGUGGCAGGUUAUCCAGACACAACCGCCUUAAUUUCGGAAGGAUGACAGUGGCGGUGGCUCCUUCACUUGAAGUCAAUUGGGUGCCUUCUCCUCCUCCUCGUCCUACUCCAUUGCCAUCUGCUUCUAUCUCCUCCAGUCCUUCACAAUCUUCAACUCUUAAUGUUUCAAGAUUUUGAAGGUUCUGCAGCAACUGUACUGUGAAUAGCUGCUUCAUGUUGUCACAGUCAAAAACCCACAACUCUUUAAGGGAAGAAAAUGUGCCAGCUGGAAACAAAUAUGAUGGUUCUGAUUCUCCGUAAAAUAGACCAACCAGAUUUGGCAAACUCCAGAGGCGUAACUCUUCGAGACCACGGAGUGGACUAAAAGACGAGUCUUCCGGCUGAUCACGUGGAAAAGCAGAAGACAAUUGCCAGAGGAACUCUAUUCCAACCGAAUCCAUAAUAUCCAAUCUAGAUAAGUGGCUUAAAUUUAUAAAAUUCUUAAAAACAUCUGACAAGCACCUAAUGCCCAUGCCCUCACAAUCCUCGAUUAUCAGAGAUUUCAUAUCAUCUGGCAGAUAGUUCGAUCCUCUACCAAGCUUACACUGAUGGAAAUGCAGAUCUUGCACCAGGAACCGAUUAAUUCCACCAUCAACAAAACUCGGUUCCUCAGUUAAGAUGUCAUUGAUAUAAACAGUAUAAUAGUAUUUUGGUCACCGAGUGAUUUUAUAGAAGUCCAUAAAAGACAAACAUCCUCCAAAACUUUCUAAUUGGUUCAACACUUCUGGAUCAUUAACUUGUACCCUACCAUUGGAUGGCAAUAAUAACAGUUGAAGACGGUGAAAUUGGGAAAAUGUCCCUUUUGGUAUUAUCUUUUGGCUUAAAGCCCCAUACUCGUCCAAGUUAAGCCUUUCGAGGUUGACCAGUGACUUCCAACCUUCAGGUAAAUCCUCAAUCUUAGUGUAGGAUAGGUCCAAAUCCCUCAAUUGCUUGAGCUUUCCCAGUGGUGGCACAGAUCGGAGGUCCCGACAACCCCUCAAAAUCAGGGCAGUGAGAUUCACCAAGUCUGAAACAGAAUCAGGUAGCUCUAUUAUACCUCCGCACCGAGAUAGAUUCAAAACUUUAAGUCCACACAUGUGCCGAAAGAAUGAAUCUGGGAUUUCUUCUAUGGAAACAUCAGAAAGAAGCAAGGUUGAGAGCUUAAGACAAUUUGGUGACCAGGCUGGCGGAACUUUUAUUUCUGGGUGUGGAGCUGAAAAUGAAUGAAAGGAGACUGCAUGGAGAUCUUCUGUCCACUCUCCUUGUUCCAGUGUUACUUUAGAAUUUCCCUUUCCUAUGCUUUUCACCAAGAACUGUGGUACAUCCCCGUUCAUCUGUAGGUUGGAUUUUCCUUUCGUGAUUCUUAAUGCCAUAUCUCUGACCAAAUCAUGCAUCUUCACACAGUCACCCCUUCCGAAAUCUUUAGUUUCUUCUAGCAAGCAAACUUUUAUCAGUUUGUUUAAUAUUGUGUGACCUUCAUCAAAUUCUUUUGGUCUUGAGUCCCGUUUUGGCAUCAGCUCUGCCCAAAUAAAGAGGUCUAUUAGUUUCUCUCUGCUUAUAUCACUAUCUUCCGGAUAAAGACAGCAAUACAAGAAGCAAUUCUUUUCACAUUUAUUCAGGCGAUUGAAACUCCAUUCCAGGAUGCGAAACACAUCUCGUUCCAUCUCAUGAUACCCUAUUGAACAUGUUUUCAAUUGUUCCAAUGCAUUUCUCCACUCACAAAUGUCGGUCACACCUCUCAUGCUUCCAGCCACUGUGAUAAUGCCAAGAGGCAAACCAUCACACUCUUCCACAAUGGACUUGGCAAUACUUUCCAAAUCUCCUUGAAGCAAGGGCUCGCUACCAAGUUUAUACUUGAACAAAUCCCAAGCUUCGCCUGUGUCCAGAGUUUGCAAAUCAAACUUUCUUUGACAUUGUAUCCUGUUGCACACUUGCAGUGAGCGAGUAGUCAAAAUCAAUCUGCACUUGUUUGGAUGAAGUGGAAUCCCUACCCUGUCUAAACAAAAUUCUUCCCAAACAUCAUCCAAUAUGAGUACUAUUAAUUUCAGCAUUUUCCUGAAUAUGUCACGCAAUAUUCUUGCCCUGGUGUCUUCCUCGUCCCUACUGGAUAGAUUAAUGCCCAAGACAUUGGCAAUCUUAUCCUGCAAGCUGGUGACACUGAAGUCUUGAGAUACUGUAACCCAAAGCACCCGAUAAUUGUUCUUUUCUAAAAGAUGGUACUCAAUGUGCCUCGCCAGUGUGGUCUUACCAACUCCACCCAUACCAUAAAUCCCAAUGCUUGAUAUAUCAUCGGCCACCAAGCAUGGCCAAAUUCUCUUCAAAGCUUCAUCGAACUUUACUCCAAACAAUUUGGUUGGCAGGCAUGGCUCCCCGAUGUUGUCACAAGUAUCGAGCACAAGCCCAUCGAAACGACGGCUCUGAUCAACAAGGUCUUUCACCUGAAAUUGCAGCUUUCCUACAGGAUCCUCCUUUAGUGGAAGCCUCCAAGAUGAUCCUCUUGUUUCCAAUGCAUCAAUUUCAGGACUUAACUUUUUAACGUCCUUCAACCAAUUGUCAACUUCACUUUUCCUUUUCUUUUUACCUGACAUUUCUUCCCUAUUGACUUCUUGUUCUACGUCAAAUGCUUUGCAACUCAAUUCUUGCCAAUUCCUUUUUAGCGAUUGCACGUUGUCCAUGUGACUCCUUCCCGUGCAAUUUUCUAAUGCGAACUCCACCGUCUUUUCUAUCACCUUUUCCCCCGUCUUUUCUGCCAGAGCUUUUCCCCAAAAUGGUAGCAUCUAGAAUUUAAAUAUAUAUCAAGCUUAGGUGCAUAAAGCAAAUUGAAGCAAAUCCGAAAAUUAAAAUUGAAGAGAAACAUCAAAAGUUGCCAACGGAACUUAGUCAACACAUAGUUUAGUAAAGAUUAAUAACCAGAAAAAGAAAAUGUUUUUCACUCAAUUCAAUAAUUGUUCAGCUAUUAGCUAAUCUCGAAUUCUUCUGACUGAAUAGUUCAUUCAAUAUUUGGAGAAAUGACAAAAAUUCUGAAGAUUGAUUUUGAAAAACUUAGAAUAAAAACUUGAUUUUUGAAGCACUAAAGAAGAAAAACUUGAUUUUUGAAGCACUAAUUUGGUAGAAAGAAGACCGUAUAAACAUGAAGUUGUCCUAUUAUGCUGAUUCAAUUAAGCAUUUUAGUAAAUGAAACUGAUAUGCAUCUUUUUUUCAUAACAAAAAAAUUGAUAUGCAUUUGAUGUAAGAAAACUUUUAUAAAAAUUUAAGAUUUUACGUAAAAACUACUAAGUUAUAAGAUUAUGGCCAAGAUCCGUAUAUGUUUCCACACUUAACAGAGCCGACGGAUUUGAAUAUCAAUUUACUCCUAUUGAUCCAUCCUGUGCCCGGGUCUAGUUUGGUUAGUAUUAGUUAGGUAAGAAAUGUCAAUUAUGUAAAAAGCUUGAACAGAGCACCUUGUGCGUUGAGAGAAGAACAAGUGACCAAGAUAUUUGGGCCUCACAAAUCUAACUAUAAACAUGAUGAAAUGAGAAACAACUACAAAAAUUUACAGAUUCAAGAUCAAAAGUGAUAUUUUUCAAAAAAACAAGUUAUCAUUGUACCUUGAAAUUAGAACAAGUUAUCUUGAAGAUUUGAAGAAGUUGAGAAUCCCUGGACUCUGCCAAAAGACAAAAAAUUUGUAUUAUAUUUUAAUCUCGCUUUCGCUACUACAAGAACUAUAAUCGUUGAGUUUUGAUGAAUGAAUUAUAAUUGAAUCAAGAUGUUGAUGCCAAACAAAGCUAUUAUAACUAAAUUCAGAAGAACUCCAAAAGUUACUAAAUUCAGAUGGAUAUGAUCUCAUUAUACCUGAAACUGACUAGAAAACUUGAGGAAGCUGAAAACCUUGAGACUCUGCCAAGAUUAUGUCUUAUGAUUGUUGCGUGUUGAGGAAAGGAUCUAGAUUCAAUAGAAUUAGCCGGAUCUGGGAGUGGAUCAAACCAUUAUGGUUCACAUUUUAUCUUCUCCAAAAGUUGAUAAGAAUUUGCCCAACAACGCCAAAAAUGUAAAAAGCAUGAAGAGAGCAAUCCAUGUCGAAAGAAAAGGAACUGAUGUAUGAUUUUUGUGCUUCGUAAAGCUAUUUAAGAUCCAUUAUGCAUGAUAUCAUUUACCUUGAAAUCUUGGACAAGCAAAAUUCUCAGGCCAGGUUAUCUUGGAGACGAUGAGAACCACAAGACCCUGGCAAUAGAUGCAAAAGUGUGUAUUAUAUUUUCGUUAGUUUUCACUGCUAAGAAGCAACUCCAAAAAUAUCGAAUUAAGACUCCAACAAUUGAACUAAGAUUUCUGUGCCAAGUAAAGCAAUUAUGUACUUGAUGAGAUAAGAAACAACUCCGACAAUUACAAAAUUGUGAUGGAUAUGAUCUCACUGUACCUGAAAUUUUUACAAGCAAGCUUGAGGAGGCUGAAAAUCUUGAUACUGCCAAAGGUAUGUACUUUUUUAUGUUUUUCUUUUAAUUUUGUACGAGUAUGAUUGUUGAAUUUUGAGGAAUCAAUGAUAAAAGUUGAACUAAUAGGAGACCACGUGUGAUUUAAAGACUUGAGCAUUACAACAUCUAAGUCAAGGUCUUCCUUCCCAGUUCAUACCAUACUGCCAUUUUGAAGACUUAGGGUCUGUUUGGUUGGAAGUAAAAUGUUUUUCUUGGGAAAAUAUUUUCCGUGGAAGUAAUUUUCCAUGAAAAUUAUUUCCCUUUCAUCAUUUUUAGGUGUUUGAUUAGCUUAUUGAAAAUAUUUUCUUACUUCAUUUUUCUGGUGUUUGUUUAACUUUUGAAAUAUUUUCACUUUUAUCUCUAUAUUUACUUUCUACACAUUAUAACUACAUACUUCUUCCCAUGCAAAAUAAGAAAAUUUAUCUCAUUGUUUAACUUUAAAAAAUCAUGGAGAAAUGUAUAUAUGAAUAAAAAAUAUCUCCUUAAGCAAUAAACAAAUUGCUGGCCAUUUAGUGUCAAAUAUCAAUCACAUGCAAUGCUUAUUGUGACAUAUAUCUUGCACUCUCACUACUGAAAGUUUCUCUAAAAAAGAAUGUCCCUAUUAUACAUAAUUAAUUACUAGCAUAGGAUGAGCAGGAUGAUGUUUUUUUUUUUUAAUUUUGAAUAUACUAGGGGGAGGGUUGGGUGGUACGGAAGAGGGAGUGUAAGGAAGAGGUCUUGGAUUCGAGUCCUUCUGUUUCCUUCUGUUUACACUAAAAAAAAAAAAAGAAAAAGAACAUAUUACAAGAUGUUUUCAGUAAGUUUGGAACAUACUACAGGCGGGAUGCAUGCAUUUCGGAAAACAACUUCAGUAAAUUUGGAAGGGAAGUUGUUUUCCAUAAGAUGAGUGAAAAUAUUUUAUAUAGGAAAAUGCUUUCAGUAACUUUUGUGCAACCAAACACGGGAAAUUAGGAAAAUAUUUUCCUGGAAAACAUUUUCACCCGAAACAAAUGGACCCUUAAUGAAAGCUCCUUAAGGAAGUAGGGGACAUUUCCAGGAAGUAGGGGACAUUUCCAGGAAAUGGUGCGGCAAGGACUUUGAUGACUAAAGGGAAGAAUUUCUGACCCUUGAAAAAGGGGAAGUAAACUGCAUAUCAAUUGCAGCCAGAAUUUCUGAGAAGGAGCUGUUGAAGUGCAUAGUUGUUUCACAGUUUGUUUUCGGUAGGUUCUGAGUAACUUUUAAAGGCAGGAUGGAUGCUAAUGUAAUUGCUCCUGGAAAGUGCAUAACAGUUGCAGGAUAGGCUUUUUUUUCUUCAGUGCAAUUGUUCCUGUCAAACUAUUGAAGUGAAAUUAUCGAGUAUUUUCUUUAAGUUAGAUUUUUUUCUGUGUAUACAUCAACAUUAAAUGGAUAGUUUAAAUUAAACCUACUCCUUUUUUUUCUUUUUUUAAGAAAAAGUUUUAAACUCAGAAUCUUUUAAUUACUUAUAAUUCCUUGAUCCUCCAUUAAACCAUUAUUAGACGUCCACAAAUUAUUUUAAUCAAAAGUGGUUACUCAGAAGCAGCUGUGGAGAUAUUUGCAGAUGAUUUGCUUUUCACUUUUUAUCAUUCUUUUUUACAUUUUCUUACAGAAAGUAAGAAUUUCGGAAAUAAACCUAACUCCCAACAGUACCUCCAAAAGCCGGCAACUUUUGAAGGCUGCUGGGGACUUAUAACCCAAACCCCAACCCCCCCUAAUACCGAUGUGGGAACUAACAAUCCCCACAGGGGUGCCCCGCUGCUAAGAUCUAAAGAGACCCCAGACACCCACUGACACAGGAAUUUGUUCUUUCUUACAUUUUCUUACAGAAAGUAAGAAUUUCGGAAAUAAACCUAACUCACUUUUUAUCAUUCCACCCUCUCCACUAUUAGUAGAGGCCUAGAGGGCCACCACCGAAAGGGCAAAGACUUCGCCUUUGACGUUGCCGACGACGACAUUGUCGGGAGGAAAGUCCAUGAAGCUGCAUGCGGGGAUGCUUGAAGUGGGGAGUCUUCCCCGUGUCUACCCCUGCAAGUGCUCCGUGGCCCGUGGGGGGCCACUUCUAUUUUUAUUUGACUUUAUUUAUAUAUGUAUAAUAUGCAUGAUCGGGUUUGUUCGGAUAGAGAAUUAUUAGCCAAAAUUUAUUUGUUUACAUCAUCAUUACAAUUUCCAACACACAUUUUUAUCUUUCCAAUUACCUUUUUAUCUCACAUACAUCACAUCACAACAAAUGCUACAGUAAAAAUAUCUCAAAUAAUUUACAAUCCAAACAGAGCCUAAAUUUACUAAACAUUCUUCUGAAUUUUUAACCAAAAAUUCAACUUGAAACACAAUUUAAAAAUUAUUUUGAUCUUCGUAAAUUCAUUUCUUCAUAUAUAUAUAUAUAUAUAUAUAUAUAUAUAUAUAUAUAUAUAUAUCAUUUAAAUUAUUGAUAGGAUGGAGUGCGAGGUUUCCUUCCCCAUCCCUCACUCCAUUUAAAGUUGGGGGGCAAAAAUGCCCCCUCUUUUCUUCUCUCUUGCCCCCUCUCCGUGCAGCUCCAAUUCUUGUUGCCCUCAUCGCUAUCUUUAAAAUUGUUACGUAAAAUUAGAGUGAAAUAAUUGGCAUCUUGUGGGUGAUUAUUUUGCAAAGUAAACACUAGUAUUUGUGUCCCUGAAACUAGUUUAACCGGUAGAAACAUUAGUCAAGUAAUGAUCAGUUAAAGAUUAGAUUGAAAAUCUUCUCAGGCUCCCCUUUCUCUCCUGCCUUCUUCCUCUUUAUGGGAUUUAGUGUCUUCCUUUGAAUUAAAAAAAAAAUACUAAUAUUUGUAAGGUAUCCAUUAAUAGUCAAGGUUUCCUUACCUAUUUUAUGCCAAGUUAUUGGAAAAGUAUGAUUCUAAUUUUUUUCCUUUUUCUUUUUAUAAUGCAGUUGCUACUUUAAUCAAGACUCAAAACUUGACAGUUAAUAUCCUCACGUCCAACUUUCCUUGUAAAUCCCAGGUUCAACCGUUCAACUAUUACAUAGAUACAUGUGCAUAACUAUUUUGCUUUUUGCUUUUUGUUAUUUUGACAAAAAUAUAGGUGCAUGUCUGUGACUCUCUCUUGAGCCUGAUGUUGAAAAUUUUAGCAUUACUGAAACAUGUAGGUGGACAAAUUUUGCUUAUUCCUCUGAUUUUGAGUUGAUGCCAACCAACACAAAAGGAAUAAGAAUCUACUUUUCCAAGGAGCAACGGAGUCCACUCACUAGCAAUCAUUAUACGUGGAAACCACUUACAAAAACCAGCUUAAAAGUCACGGCAUUUUUUUCUUUUAAUUUAUAAUUAUCGCUUGUCGUAUUGUUGUUUAAUAUUGCUGGUGGACGGGGGUGUUUUCUUCGGGAGGAGGAUCAUUUCGACAAGUUGAAGGGGCAUUAGAAGAAAUGAGAAAUUUUUUUCUGGCUGCAAGGAAAUUGGAGAUUUAUUUUAACAGACUUGUAGAUUUUGUUUGUGACAAUAGGAUGCGGCUUUAUUCUUCUUCUGAAUUAGAUCAGGCAUUGAUAAAUUUUGAUGUGGUACUUCUACUUGUUUCUUUCUCUAAUUACAACAAUAGGCAUUAAAGAUUUUGUUGAUAACACGUCUCUGUUGCGAAAGCAGAGAGUGCUUUACCACUUGCCAGGCACUAGACUGUGCUGCCUGCUUUGAUUUCGUAAUGUGAUUCCUGAAUUCUAUAUAACCUCCCUCGUGUGAACAGAUCCACAAUGAGAAUCUCAUUUUCAUGUAGCUAUUUUCUUCAAGUUUCAACAGAAGUUAGUGGAACAAGAAUCAAAUAGUUCCUGAGGGUCAUAUUGUCUGAAAUUUGGACUUACCUAGCUCUGUUCCAUCAAUACCAAUCUUUGGCUUUUCUUUACCCAAAAAAAUGCUCCAUUCGUUGAGAUGACUAUAAAUGCUCUUAGGAAGUAGGUAAGUAAUGCUAAUCAUAGCCAUCUAAAUUUUUUUUUUCAAUAUUGAUUUAAAAUGCAGCCCAGACGCGUCCCUUGAAUCCGAAAGGGAUCUAAAACUACUUGAGAUCUGAACAAACAAAACCUGGAUUAGGCUCAAACUAACUUUGUUGUGGUGUGCAGAGUCCGAAUUAGGUGCAAAAAGUAGGCACUUUGACACUUUAAUUUUUAAAUAAGUAUAAUUUCAACAUUUUUUAAAGUUUCGUUACGAGUAAUCAUUUCCGUCAUUUUGAUACUUUAAUUCAAAUUAUAAGGGAAUUCUAUAUAACUUUUGAAAUUAUAAAAGAAUUAUGUAAAAAAAAAUACUAAAUUAUAAAAGGGAUAAAAAGUAAUUUGUCCAAAAAUGAAUGAAUUCCUUCGCGACUAAGGAUUCGAAUCGGUUCAUGCAGAGGGAAAAGAUGUGCAAAAUGAAACAAUGGCCCGCCUAUUGUCGACUAACUCCUUUGGCUCUAGCAUCUAUUCUCAAAAGUCUUCACUUCCGCGUAAAGGGAUGUAUAACAAAAGCGGGACAUGGAUGGGUAUAAUUUUGGCAAGUUUUGUCCGGUUGUGGUAUUCAAUAUACGAUGUACCAUCACAUUUUGUAUGUUGUUGUAUUUAAUAUAUGUGCAAUAUGUUAUUUAUGUACACUAACUUUUUUCCAAAGUAUUAACAAUAUAUUAUGAUUGUAUAGCAAAUAAUAUAACAGAUAUAAUAAAUGUUAAAAGCUGGAUAAAAAGACAACCGUAUUUGCCCCAAUUCCACUAAUAUCUAUUGCCCUAUUAGCAGAGUAGUAGUAAUAAUAAGGAAGAAUACUUGAUCGUUAACUUUGACUAGAAUGAAAUUCAAGGAAAGUGGCAAGGAAACUUCUUUAAAAUUUCGAGACCGAAGUUAUUUAGGGUUCACUUCGAUAAUAUGUUUUUUGAGUGUAUUUUACAAAGUUUGUUGUAACAAACUACAGUUAUUUUAUGUCAAUAUUAGAAAAAGAAAUGCUGAUGUUUAUUUAAAAUAUCCUAUUUUUUCAAUCCCCUUCCCCCCUCCCCCGCCACCCACAAAUGGCAGUCUUUACCACACACCACUAGUAUCCUACUUAAUGUGUAUUUUUUUUUGUAUUUUUGAAAACUUUUGGAUGCUUUAAAAUAUUAGCAUGAUUGAUAUUUUAAACAAGUUUUUUUUUUAUUUUUGGUUAGAAUAGGCCAUCCAAAUAAUAGAGGCCCAGCACCGGAAUGGAAAUGACUUGGCCGUUGACAACGACGACUCAAGGAAACUUCCAGGAAAUUGCGAGGAAGGCUUUCCGAAAUGCCGAACUGGAAAUUGAGUAAAACUUUUACAUCUCCCGGUGUCAUUAUUGGCAAAGUAAAUAGUUUGGUGUGGUAAUAAAACUAAUACUUGAGCAAAUAAAAGACAUGGACAUGUCUUGAAUUUUUUCAAUUUAAGUUCCAGUACUCUUUUAUGGUUUGUACUUCAUACCAUUUUGGAAAAAUAUUUCCUCACCUCACCUACACCAAGUUCUUGGAAAAAUAUAAAAUUUGGAUUGCUAUUUUCUGAAAUUUUUAUAAAAAAUAUAUAUUUUAAGAAUUUAAUACAUAUAAAAUAAAAAAGUAAGUGAGAAAUGUGUUCAUAAAAAUAUAAAAUUUUUUUAUAAAAACAAAUGACAAUCCAAACAAGACGUCUUUUGAUAAAAUACAACAUUCAUGCCUUCAACCACUACAUAGAUAGAGGUGCAUAUUUAUCUUACAACCCCAUAGCAAAAUUUUGGUGAAGUAAUUCUUUUUUUUUAUUAUUUACUAGAGCAUAUCAGUAAACAAUCAUAAAAAGAAGAAAACAAAUAACAUCAUACUAAUUAUUACCAAUCAAAGACUAAAAAGAUUUUCAUAAAUGAAGUUAACUAUUUCAUUUAAUUUUAUGUCUCAGGUUUCACCUCAACUCUUUCCUCUUGCUGAAACUUUCGCAGAGUCAUCAAAAGACAAAAGUAACCAAAAAAAAAAAUAUCUGCAUAUCUCUUGAAGGAGAUCUGACCCUACUUGGAUGUUCAUCCAAAUAACAGUCCCAUUAAUUUUAUCAUCAAUAGAAGUUUCUCCAACUUGAUUUUUGGGGCUUUUCAUUCUCCUGUUUUUUCAAGCAGAAGUCCAUUAAAAUGCGGAUGUUGCUGCAGUAUGUUUAGUAAUCAAAGAAGACGUGUGGAAAGUAAAGCAUAUGGCAAAGAAGCAGGCACGUGGAAAGGUAAAGAAUAUGUCAAAGAAACUGACAUGUACGGAUCAAGAAGGGUUAUUUUUACAAAAGUAAGUGGUGACCUAUAACCGGGAUUUGGAAAUGUUGCGUACUGCAGAAGCUAAAAGUGUGUUGGGAUGUCACGGAAUUAACAUAAAUAUAAAGGGCCUAAGAAUAAAACAUUUGUGAAGAAGCGUAAGCAGUACUAAUUACUAAACAAAGCCAUCCUGGGGCCACCGAUUAUGGGCAUUACAUCAACAAAAUACUAUCUAUUUAUUGGCAUUUUACUCUGAAUCAUUAUAUUUAUGUAAAAUACAUAAAUAUUUUGGAUAGCACGGAUAUUCACACUAGCUAUCCUUGUACUAAAUUUUAUGAGCAUUUUACUCUAAAUCAUUACAUUUUGGAUACUACUUUGAUUAGAAUUUAGUUUAAAGACAUUCACUGGAGUUUGGACGCAUCCAAAGAGCACCGAUCGAUGUAUGUUCAAGCGUAAAUUGAAAUAAUAUAUGCAACUUAAAUUUUUUAAAAAUAAAUUACUACUGCAUAUCAGAAAUUUACUUUUUGGAGAGUAGGUUUAGUUCAUACUAUUUUUCAUAGUAUUUUAAAAUAUAUAAGUACAACAAAUUUUAAAUUAUACCUAUAAUAAUGUAUUAUACGAAUAUAUUAUGAGUACUUACUAACUAAGGUACUAAGUUUUAAUCAUUGAUAAAACAUCUUAUCGUUAUUUCAAAUAAACUUCCUAAUAUUAGUUUGAAAUAAGUUUUAAAGUAAAAUAAUACAUGCGUCCCAUAAAUCAAUAAAUCUUGAUUAUUAAUCAAAUUUGCUAUGUUAUCAGUAAUAAUUACUAUUUAUGUAUAAAAACUUACUAUUACUUGAAUUAAACUUACUAAGGUAUAUUAUGAGUGCUUACUAACUAAGGUACUAAGUUUUAAUCAUUAAUAAAAACAUCUUAUCAUUAUUUCAAAUAAGCUUUCUAAUACUACUUUGAGAUAAGGUUUUAAUGUAAAAAUUGUACAUGCAUUCCAAAAAAUGGUAAAUUUUGAUCCUUAAUCAUUUUUAUUGCCAUGUUAUUAGUAAGAAUUACUAUUGAUGUAUAAAAACUUACUGUUAUUUGAACUAAACUUACUCUUUUAAAAGUAAGUUUGGGAUAUCAAGUAGUAAUCUAUUUAUUUAAAAAUUAAGUUUAAUAUUUAUUCCAAUUUACCUUUUGAGGUAUAAAAGUUACUAAUCUAUUACACUUAACUUACUAUUUUAGAUAGGAAACUUACUUCCAUAAUUUUAGGUGUUAUUUUAUUUAGGCGAAUAUGUCCAACAAUAAAUCAAAUGAUCGCUAAAAGUGUAACAACGUGUUAUAUCAGGUAAAAACUAUUGCGCUAUCAUAACUAUCGCUUAGUAUCUAUAUCUAAAUGUAUUGCUGAGGGGGUUUUAGAUAAGGAGCUUUCAAAAUUAUCAAAAGUCUGAAUGCUAUUUUAAUAGAAUUUUACAUUUUUUAAUUAAAAAAUAUUUAUCUCUUAACUAAUCAUGUAACCGGCCCUACAAAUCCUAUAAUCAUACUUAUAUUUUUUCCACAUUUCCCUUAUGUUUUUUCCACUACCCCAUAAAAUUCAAACUCCUAAACUUUAACUAACGGAUAAUAACCACCCCUGUAAAAUGAUAUUUGCAAAUUCCAAUUCACAUCUCACAUUUAUUACUGACACUUACCAUAUCACUUAGAGUAAUAACUAACCGUUAAUUUAAGAAAUUCGCAACUACGAAAGUCAAAUAUCCAAAAUUUAGGAGCCUGUUUAAAUUACAAUUUUCACAAUUCAACGUAUCUUAUUGUCAUAAUAUAUUUUACUCUCACAAUCAUUCACAAAUUAUAAAGGCAUUAAAAAUAAAUAAUUUUUUUAAUAAAAAUUAAUUCAAAGGUAGUUAAUUCACACACACACACAUAUAUACAUACAUAUAUAUAUAUUCUCAUAAUGCAUAUAUAUAUAAGAUUAUCAAAUCGAAUGCAUAAUAUUGGUAAGUAUUUCAUUUUAAAAUAAAAAAAAAUGCAAUUACAUUUAUUUCUAUCCAUAUAUCAUUCAUUUUCUAAUAUAAAUUAUUAUUAUUAUUUUAAGAUCCAUCUUUUGCAAAAACACAAUUCUUGAAUGAUUUACAGUUUUUGUCAUAUUUUGAACUAUUGUUAGACAAAUCUUAAAUUUUAAUUAUGUUGGUAUAAUUUUUUUAACUUUUUUCAAAUUAAAAUGGUAUAAUUUUUUAAUUUAUUUUAAUAAUGUAAGUACCGUGCGUAGCACGGAUAUUCACACUAGUUGUCUUUGUAUGACCGAGCCUGAGAGUUUGAGCAUGUUUUGGUUGAAUGUUAUAAUUCAAAAUUUGGGGUUUGGAGGGAAUAUGUUAUAUCCAUUGUAAUCAAAACUCAAAUAAAAGUGGGGAUAAGCCUGGUUGUCACAACGAACUAUAUAAAGUGGAUUUUUUUAUUUAUUUGCAGAAUGCUAUCUUAUUUUUUCAUGCAUCAGAAUGGAUUGAUUACAAGUUGCAUUUGCUUGCCUUUUGCUAGAAUUUUGGCUAAUUAACAAAUUAUACUAAUUGUAGAAUAGUAAGUUUGUAAUCAUUUUCAAUUUUUGAAAAAUUUAAAAGUUUAGAUAACAAUAACAACAAAUCUUCCUAGUUACAUGUAGAAUAUCACUUGUUUCUAUAUCACAAUUUUUAUAACUUAAAACCUAUGAAUAUAAUAAGAUAAAAUUAUUAUUUUAUAAUACGAUAAAAUUUUAUUAUUUUCUAAGGUUAUGUGAAAGGUCAAAAUAUUUUUCACAAAAUAUUUUAAAAUAUAUAAGUACAAAAGAAUAUUAAAUUAUACAUAUAAUCAUGCAUUAUACAAGUAUGUUACAAGUACUUACUAACUAAUGUACUAAAUUUUAAUCAUUUAUAGAAUAUUUUUAUUGUUAUUUCAAAUAAGCUUCCUAGUAUUCAUUUGGUAUAAGCCAUAAAGGAUUGAGUAAUUUGAGUCAGUUGCUUCUGUGUUAAUUUUGACUGUGGUUAACAAACUCAAUGAUUUAGUCCGUCUAACAUAGGUUAAUGGGAAAAUGGGUCACAGUUGGCUGGAAUAAAAUUGUAAUAAACCCGUUUUUCAAUAAAAAAAUAAACUCUUUAUGACUUUUCUCUAUUAUAAGAACAGAGUACCCAUUUUCUAAAAAAAAUUAUUUAUUAGAUAAAAUAAAAAUAAACCCAUUUUUCAAUAAAAUCCUAACUCUUUAUGCCUUUCCUCUAUUAUAAGAACCGUGUACCGAUUUUGCCAUAAACAAAUUUAUUUAUCGGAUAAAAAAAAUUUAUUUAUCGAAAAAAAAAUGAACCCGUUUCUCAAUAAAACAUCAGCUCUUUAUGGCUUCCCUCCCUUAUAAGAAAAGAGUAUCCAUUUUGCCAUAAACAUCGAAUAAAAUAAAAAUAAACUCUUUUUUCAAUAAAAAACCAGUUCUUUAUGACUUUCCUCAAUUAUAAGAAUAUAGUACCCAUUUUUCUAAAAAGAAAAAUAUCAUUUAUCGAAUAAAAUAAAAAUGAACCCGUUUUUCAAUAAAACACAAGUUCUUUAUAGUUUUCAUCUAUUAUAAGAACAGAGUACCCAUUUUUUCAUAAAUAAAUUUAUUUAUCGGAUGAAAAACUAAAUAUAUUUUUCAAUAAAACACCAGUUUUUUAUGGUUUUCCUCCCUUCACUACAACAAAAAAGGGUAUUAGCGACAACAACUUUAGGAAGAAAUAGAAAGCUUGACGCUCUUAAGAGGCUUAUAGCAAGGAAAAGGACAAUACCUCACCAAAAAUUGGAGCCAUCAUAUACUCUGCGAGGGCAACGACUUUUCUCGCUUAAAAUUCUCGCAAAAAAAGAGAGCGGGAAAGCUUCCCUCCAAAUACUAAUUCUAGUGGGCCAAAGUUUCUAUGUUAUUGGUGAGAAAUCAUGGGUGCUUUUUUGUGAAAAUUUCAAAAUUUUGCGCCCUUCCAAUUUUUAGCAGAGCCGCGGGAAAAUUUUUUAAUCAUUCCCGGCAUAGCACUUGUCAAGCCUAGCACCACAUGAAUUCCAAGCCUUCCAUACUUGCAAGGCUACUUUCCCAAAUAUUUGUUCUCAGAUCAGAGCGCUCGAAAGUUCAAUCGCAACCUCCUCUGCACCUUUCUCCUUCUAUCUCUCUUUCCCUCUCUAUUAAUUUUCAGUUUUCCAUAGACAUAUGGUUCCUCUCUUCCUCUCUAUCAUCUAGAUCUGAAUUUAUACAAUCAUGGACACACUUUAAAGACCCUUCCGAUGCAAUGGCAGACUUCAAGGAAAAGCGAUGGUGUAGGUUUUAUAAUAUGUUAUUUUCAUCUCUGUUUUGUCAAUUGCCUUUUUCUUGCAUUUUUGGUCAAUUUAACAAUCGCAAGAAAAACUUUUUGAAAUUGUAGACUUCUACUUCAGUGGAUUAGAGUGAAAUGCUUAUCUCAGUUGGAGUAGAGAAAUGGGUCUUACUGGAAGGCAAAAUGAAAACGGCCCGUCAAAAUUGGAUCUUGAACAUCUAUCAGUUUUUAGGAGUUUGUGUGAAUUUUGGGUUUUUUUUUCCUGAUUUUAUUCUAUGUGGUCUUGUCUGUAUGAUUGGAAAGUUCAAUUUCUGAUGUACUUUCAGGGGAGUUUGGCUGUAGCAGCAGGGAAGUGGGGAAGUGGGUGGCUUUCAGGUGGCACCGCCGGCUCAGUAUAACCCAUUAGACGAGCCGAGUCCAUUGGGAUUGAGGCUGAGGAAAAGUCCUUCCCUUUUGGAAUUGAUCCAAAUGAGGCUUUCUCAAGCUAAUUCACCUAAGGGUGCAAGUUCCAGUAAAAAAGAGCUUAAAGGGGCCGCUGCUUCUGGUUCCUCUGAGAAGCUCAAGGCUUCAAAUUUUCCAGCAACUAUUCUGCGAAUUGGGACCUGGGAGGUAUAUUUAUACAUUUGCAUUGGAUCAUGGAUUUUAGAAGCUUGUUUUAUUGGAUUGCUUAUGAUUUCGUUAAUUUUGAUUGCAUGUCUUUGUUCUAAUUUCUAGUAUAAGUCAAGAUAUGAAGGGGAUUUGGUAGCAAAGUGUUAUUUUGCAAAGCAUAAGCUUGUACGGGAGGUUCUUGAUGGCGGGCUCAAGAAUAAGAUUGAAAUUCAAUGGUCUGAUAUAAUGGCUUUGAAGGCGAAUUAUCCUGAUGACGGACCGGGGACUUUGGAUGUAGUGGUAUUAGCAACACUUACUGUGUCUUUGUUAAUUACUUUGUAUGUCGUUAUUAUGAAUUUUUUAUAGUGAAAACAUGUUUUUUUCUUUUUAAUGGUGUAGCUUGCAGGACAACCUCUUUUCUUUAGGGAGACAACUCCCUAAAAUCACCUCUGAAUUCUGAAUUCUCUGACCAUCUGACUUCCUUCACCGCAAUUUCUUAAUGCUUUUAAUCUCUCUUCACUGACAACUCACUCACAAGCCUCGCCUUACAUAUCUGUCCCGAAUUUGCCAGAAGACAUACUGACCCAUUCAUUUUCUUCCUCCCCACCCUUUGGCCUUCACCGAAGGAAUCCAAGGAAAUCUUUCUUUGAGAACAAAAUUCUUAGAGAAGGGGAAAAAAAGGGAUGAGGGACUGCAAGAUUUUUUGUUCUCUCAUUAGCAGUUGCAUUCUUCUUGUUUCUGUUCUCAAUGGAGCAAAUGCUGAUAACCCAUAUAGGUUCUACACUUGGAAAAUCACUUAUGGUGAUAUAUACCCAUUGGGUGUCAAACAACGGGUAAUGUAUAUGCACCAAAACAUGUUUUUAUGUUGUUAAUGACUUGUACUAUGAUAUGCAUGUGGCAAUGUGUUUCUUGAAUUUGCUCGAAUUUUUGGGUGGUUAAGAGUCGGAAGUGUAUAUGCUGCAGGGAAUCUUGAUAAAUGGGCAGUUUCUAGGGCCACACAUUGACUGUGUCACCGAUGAUAACUUGAUUAUCAGUGUUUACAACUACUUGAACGAGCCUUUCCUUAUUUCUUGGUAAGUUUUUCACAGUAAUCUCAAAGAACUCUUUCUCUUAAUUACUACUGAAGGAUAAUGGGGGAUGUUGCAGUUUGUAUGGAGUAAAAUGUGCAAUGUUUCCCCUGCAACAAUGGCGAUCUGCUUGGCUAUUUUCCUUUUUUUUUUGUCUUUAACUUUCAUAUAUUUUUCUGCACAAAGAUUGCAAAUUGUGCUCAAUGAAGAUGAUGACACUCUCAAAUGUUGAGGUGUUAAUUGUAAUUAAUAUCAGAAUGUGACGGAGCUCGAUUUAAUAAGGACUAGUAGUGCAAAAAGAAAGCAACUUUAUGACCGAAUUGGUAAGCCAAGCCUUGGAAGUAUGGUCGGGCAUACUGCUAUUGGCCCAGUGGGGCUCGUUCUGGUUAGCCUUUACUUCCCAGUUCCCACACAUUUGGUCUGAAAAUGGUGGUCCACGUAACUAGAUGUUAUUUUCUGACUAUUGUUUCUACAAUUAAUUAUUUUUACAGUGAAGUUAACUCGAGGAAGUUUUCUACGAUUUUAUGGACAACUGUACACUCUGCACAUGCUGGAUCUCCAGAUCUCGGACAUAUACCACAUUUUCUUUCUGUUAUUUGCUUAUCAGUGUAUGGUUGAGCAAUAUAAAUUAUGCCAUGAAGUGUUCCAUAUGUCUAUCGUCUAAAGGCAAUAUUACAGUUGACUAUGUAUGCCCAUUAGAGUCAUGGGGAGUGGGACGCAUCACAUAUGCUUGAUAAUAUCAUUAAACAUUAGGGUAUCAUACCUCAUUUGUCUUGUUGCUCUGGUGAGGAUAAGUUGUAGUUUAACAUCAUCAUCCUUACUGGAUGUAUUCCAUUCUAUAUUGCUACAAAGUGAGAUCUUUGCCUGUUGGAAGGGGCUUCUUGGCUGUGAAACCAUGUCAAUAUUUAAUUGCUAACUGACAAAAACAACAUUUCUUUCCUUCUUCUUCUUUUUUACUUUUUUUUCAUCUCGUUCACUCUCUGCUUUACCUCUAAUCCUGAUAUUACAUUCUUUUGUUAAGUAUGGCUUUAAUUUCUUUUUCAUGGAAACAUGAAUAACUUGAAUGGUAAUCUAAGAUAUGUCGAUAUUGAUGUGUUGACUAGCUUGGCAGUGUUACAAUUAUUUAAGUGACAGUUUUUUCUUUUCGUUGUUUUGCUCAAUCUCUGGAGACUAAGUGCAAUACAACAAUGGUCUGACUCACCGUUGAUUGGCAUUUUUUCUGGGAUUUCUGGCAGGCAUCAUUUUCUGCAGUGUCCACAAGGCUUGUUGGGAAAGCAUUUCGAAAAGCUUAUUCAAUGUGAUCCUCGUCUUAACUUCCUGAGUAAAUAAGGAGAGAUAACGUUGGAUUCUCCAUAUUUUGAACUCAGAAUCUCUGUGUUUGAUGACCCAAGUGAAAACAAAGCUGCAUUUGAUUUGAACAAUCAUGAGAGUCCCACUGUCUUCAACUUGAGGGGAUGCAGCAUCACCAUCAGGUGGUCAAUCAUCAUCUUCGAGGAAUGAACAAGACAUUGUUAGUAGACCUCGAGAAGACAUGAAACACCAUCACCCAGCUCAGGUAACCGGUCCUUUUAAUAGUCUUGAACCAAAAUUUGAUAUUCACUAAAAGUUUCUGACCAACAGAAAUGUAAAAUGUCAUUUUCAUUUGAUUUAUAAUCUGUACAGAGUAUUUCUUUUCCUCCAAGGAGGUUUAUAUAUGUAGUCGCGUCUCUCUAGUAGUAUUUGACUCUGUGUUUUGGUUUAUUCAGUAAUGGAUACGCAUGUAAUUGAAGAAAUAAAAAUGGUGGAGGAGAACAAACAUGAUAUGGUUAUGAAGCUCUCACAAGCUACUUCGAUUAUGGACUUCGCCAAUUAAUGCAAACAUGAUACUCAUUGUAUAUUGGCACAGGGUCUAUCUUAGCAUUUGUUAUCCCUAGCAAUUUUGGUUGUACAUAUUAAAGCCCAAUUAGAAUUUGAUUUGAGUAUCUUUGUGCUUUGUACUGUUGAUAGUAUUGGUUGUAAUAUAUUAUUGCUCGUUUUGUAUUUGUAAUGACAAAUUGGUUUGUUAUUUCGUAUACAAAUUUUGCUAUAUCUCAAUAUUGACAUUAAUGAUACCUCUUGCUAAAAAAAUGGUUGAAAAAAAAAGUAGCAACUACAGUCACAAAGCUGCUUUCGGCAACUUUCUUGCAAGAAAAUCAUUUAGCUGCAUUUGAUCGUCUUUGGUAAAGGGUCGAUGGUUUUCAAUAAAAUACCAGCUCUUUGUGACUUUCCUUCAUAAAUUUUCUAUUUUUCCUUUUUUCACUGAAAUACUUUAUUACUUGGAUAAAAUCAGAAACUCCAUUAUAAGAAAAGGUUUGGAGGGAAUAAGUUGUAAGCAAUUCAUGACAAUUACCGCCUCUACACACAUGUGAAGGAACAGGGGCUAUGACAAUUUGCUAUAUGUACUGUGCAAAUCUUAUCCCAUUGAAAAUCACAUUGAGAGGUGGGCCAGCAUUUUGCUAUAUCUCAAUAUUGACAUUAAUGAGUUUAUUUUUAUUUUAUCCGAUAAACAAAUUCCUUUUUGCCUUCAAAAUGAGUACUCUAUUCUUAUAAUAGACGAAAAUCAUAAAGAGCUGAUAUUUUAUUGAAAAAAUGGGUUUAUUUUUAUUUUAUCUGAUAAAUAAAUUUGUCUGAGAAAAAAUGGGUACUCUAUUCUUAAAAUGGAGGAAAGUCAUAAAGAGCUGAUCUUUUAUUAUAAAACGGCUUUAUUUUUAUUUUAUCCGAUAAAUAAAUUUAUUUAUGAAAAAAUGGGUACUCUAUUUUUAUAAUGGAGGAAAGCUAUAAAAAGUUGGUCUUAUAAUGAAAAAUAGAUUUAUUUUUAUUUUAUCUGAUAAAUAAAUUUGUUUAUGGAAAAAUGGGUACUCUGUUCUUAUAAUAUAGGAAAGUCAUAAAGAGCUGAUUUUUUAUUAGAAAAUGGAUUUAUUUUUAUUUUAUUCGAUAAAUAAAUUUAGUUAUGAAAAAAUGGGUAUUCUGUUCUUAUAAUGGAGGAAAGCCAUAAAGAGUUGGUCUUUUUUGGGAAAGUGAUACUUUACACAAAGUGACCGCGAUUUGGUUUAUAAAAUAAUCCCAAAUAAAAAUUUAGAAUGAAUUUAUUUGUUUUGAAAGUUGUAUAACGGUUGUUAAAAUUUUAAAGAUUGGCAAAAAAAUUUUGGGGUUACAGAAAGGUAGAGCAAAGAAGGAGAAGAAUUGAGUUUUUUGUCCGUUGCAAUUGUUCUGUUAAAAAUGGCUCUAUUCGGUUUUACCCAUUUUUUGUUGGAUAAAAUCGUUGGUUCUAAUGAUUAAUUCUUCAUUUCCCGUCAAUUGUCCUUAAUUGGCAAAAAUUACGAAACUUUGAGCAUGCAAUAUGUUUGGGGUGAAAUUUUGAGGAUGAAAUUGGUCAACCACCCAAAUUUUGAGAAUGAAAAGUGCAUUUUUUCGUAUAAGAUAUUUAAUCAAAUGUUAUUUCUUGUCUUAAUUUUAGUUAUGACUAUGCUACAUAUUUAUUAAAUAGACAUACCUUUAUAAUUAAAGUUAAUAUUUGAUAUUUUAGGAUGUCAUAUAUUUAAAUAGAUGAAAAUUAUUUUGAACAUAACAUAUUAAAAUAAUUUUAUUUAUCAAUCAUUUUGGCCCUUCCAUCAAGGAAAAAAUCUUGGUUUCGUCACUGCCUAGGAGGAAAUUGGGGUCUAUUGCUAACAAAAGAUUGUGAAAAUUUACCUUUAUAUCCUAAUUAUUUGAAAAAAAUAUCUAAUGAACAAAUUUUGCAAAAGAAACCUUGUUUCUUACCAACAAAUUAAGUAACUAAUAAAAUCACCUUUAAUAUUGCUUUAACAUAUUUAAUUUAUGUUAAAUACAAAUUUUACCAGUUUCUCUUUUGUAAAAAUAUAAGUAUAUUACUUUUUCAAUUUUAGUUACAAACAUUUAUGUAUUUUAUGUAAAUGUAGUGAUUCAGAGUAAAAUGCCCAUAAAUAGCUAGUAUUUUGUUGAUGUAAUGCAAAAAAAUCCAUAAAGAGCUGGUAUAUUAUGGGCGCAAUCUUUUUUACUUUCAAAUAUUUAAAAUUUGUUAAAUGCAAAAUCUACUAGUUUUCCUUUCGUAAAAGUAUAAGUAUAAUACUUUUUCAAUUUUAGUUACAAACAUAUAUGUAUUUUAUAUAAAUGUAAUAAUUCAGAGUAAAAUACCUAUAAAUAGUUAGUAUUUUGUUGAUGUAUUGCAAAAAACUCAUAAAGAGCUGGUAUGUUAUGGGCAAAAAUUUUUUACUUUCACAUAUUUAAAAUUUGUUUAAUAUAAAAUUUACUAGUUUUCCUUUCGUAAAAAUAUUAGUGUAACACUUUUUCAAUUUUAGUUACAAAUAUUUAUGUAUUUUAUAUAAAUGUAAUGAUUCAGAAUAAAAUACCCGUAAAUAGCUAGUGUUUUGUUGAUGUAAUGCAAAAAAAAAAAAUUAUAAAGAAUAGGUAUGUUAUGGGCAAUAUAUUUUUUACUUUCAUAAAAAUCAGUUUAUGUACCAAGCAUGGCUGUGUUUAGUACUGCUUACCCUUUCUCUUUGGUGUUUUAUUUCUAGACCCAUUAUAUAUAAGUUAAUUCCGUGACACCCCAAUACAUUUUCAGCUUCUGCCAUACACAACAUUUCCAAACCGGCCCGUGCCUGUUAUAGGUCACUAUUUGCUUUUGUAAACAUAUUCCUUUCAUCAUCCGUACAUGUCAGUUUCUUUGACAUAUUCUUUACCUUUCCACGUGCCUGCUUUUUUGCCAUAUAAUUUACUUUCCACACCUGUCUUUGAAAUAUGUGAAUACACUACAGAAUUUACCUUAAAAUGCCGGCUUUGUUCAGUUAAUUCAUUCGCCUGAUUUUUCAUCUUUCUGGCAUGGCCUUCAAUCAACAAACGGUUCAAAAUCCCCCCCUGUUGUUCCCUUCUCUGUAAUGCAAUGAAAUCAUUAUCUAAUAAUGUUUCUACUUCCUCCAGCCAAUGUUUGACCUCAGUUUUCCUCUUCUGUCGUCCGGACAGCUCGGCUCUUUCCACAUCCUCCUUUAUGUCAGAUGCUCUGCUCCUCAAUGCGUUCAGAUUCCUGGGCAGCAAUUGCAUAUCAGAUCCCAAGCUCAAGUAACUCGUCCCUGCGUCCACUGAUACAUUUGCAGCCCUUUCAAAUGCUACGUCCUCCGCCUUCUCACCGAACUUGCCAAGCAGUCGAUACAUUUCAGCUGUAGUCUUCGUAAUGAUAGUCGUAAUGAUUUGCAUCGCCAUAGCCAUGGCCUUCAAACUUGCAUCCAAAAUCUAAUAAAAACGAACAAACAAGGAAUGUUACUGUUAGUUUGUACGACAAAAAGAAUUGAUGAAAUGAAAUGCGCCGCCCUCCUCUCAAAUGCUAUGUCCUCCACCUUCUCUGUGAACUUGCCAAGCUGUGGUAUCAUUUCAGUUAUAGCCUUCCCACUGAUAUUAAAAAUGAUUUGCAUCACCAUAUCCAUGGCCUUCAAACUUGCAUCCAUCUAAUAAAAUAUAGACCAGAAGAGAAUAUGUUAGUUUUUACAACAUAAGGAAUUCAUGAAACAAAGUGCUCCCCUCUCAACUGCUGUGUCCUCCACCUUCUCUAUAACCUUGCCAAGCUGUAGUAUCAUUUUAGCUAUAGCGUUCCCAAUGAUAUGCACAAUGAUUUCCAUAUGGAUGGCCUUCCAAACUGCAUCUGUCAUCUGAUAAAAAGAGACCAAAGAAUUUUAGAUUUUACAACAGCAAUAAUUGAUGAAACAAAAUGUGCCCUCUCCCCCUGCAAAUCUCGUGCUUUGUUGCUAGAUUAUGUGUGUCAAAUAAAUUAUACCUUUAAACUUCAACAGGAAAGGUCUUUGAAGAAUGAAAUAUACCUUAAAGAUUUCUUGAGAAUGAAAUAUAUCUUAAAGCUAAUACGAUGAGAAUCGUCACAAGGACGGGAAGAACGGCUGAUGGACGAGGGAUAGGUGGGUUAAUAGAGGAAGAAGCAACCUCUUUUUAGACGUUGAGAAUGAGAUUGACGAUGAAAACCACGGAAACCUGAUAGGAAAGUCAUGGGAAGAAACUUGGCAACUGGUUAGAAACCUGGUAUAAAAUUGCUAAGAUUGUCCAGCCGAUAAAUCAAUUAAUUAACAGUAAGAUUAAUUAGAAGUCCAGAUUAAAGUUGCGGUAUUCCUAGCAAGAUCCUUCUGCUUUGGAUUGAAAUCUGCUACUACUUGAAAUAUGGUUGAGAAUCUUGUAAUAUCAUAGAUAUCAUUUCCAAUUAAUUAGAUAGUGCUCUUUUUCUAUAUUGAUUCAAUGAAACAACACAAGUGAUUUGUUUUUUCCAUUUUUGAUGAUCAUAUUUCAAGUGAACCCAAGAUGUACAAGUAAAAAUGGUCAAAUAUGAGUUUCAAUAAGACGCAAUUGAUAGAUUUGCCAGCUGAACGUGAUUGGGGUAUUGUGGAACAAAAUAUUUCUUUCAUUCAUAUAGCUCACAAGAUUCUUUAAUUUCAGCAAUUGCCCAAUAGCCCACAAGUCCACAAACUGGACCAAGAAUCGAUGGGGUCCUUACAAAUGCCAUCCCCUUACAGUUUUUCACCCUCGAAGUUAAGUUUCUUGCGGCAAGGCCCAGAAGCCUCCGAAACCCACUUUUUUUUUUUUUUUUUUUUUUGAGAAAAAACGCACCUUAUUCGACAUUGUACUUAUUCCGGAGGUAAGGCCUUUCAUUUAUCUCGUACUCUACUUUAUUGUCUAUUAUAAAGUAGUAGGCGUCUAUUAAAAAGAGUAGGCGACUAUUAAACUCCAACCAUAUUUCAAAAAAAAAAAAAAAAAGUUGGUCUUGCAUUUUUAUUGAUAGAAAAUAAUUCGAUCCUUUUCAGGAUGUCAAGUAUAUUAGAGCGUCAUAUAAUGUUUCUCCCUAAUUUCAAACUUUGUAAAGGGAUUUUUUUUUUUUUUUUUUUUUUGGGAGGGCUCACAAUCAUCACAAAGCAUCUUCUUUUUGAAAUCUUUUCUUUCAUAUCCUUUUGUCUUGCCGAGUUCCAAGUGAGCUAUAAAAAAAGCCAUUUAUCAGGAGGUAUUUUUUAGAAAGAAUGUCUCGUCCAAGGCGUAAUCUCACCACAUUAAAAUCCAUAACUUCAAACAAUGCCUUUAUUAUUUGGUUUUUCCCCUCAUAAAAGUUGCUGGCCUUUUCCAUCUUUUCCAUAAAACAAAUUUCAAGUUCGAAUCUUUCAUCAAAUUAAAUAUAAUUGCAGCUUGUGCCAUUUUCAGAACCUUAGUUUACUCAAUAAUUUGACAAGUUAUUGUUCCCUUCUUUUUGUUCAAGUAGUCAAAUUUUUAGGAGGCAUUUAAUGUUUCAUGUUUUGGGAUGAAUCAAUUCACAAAACUUGAGGAAUGAGAGAAGUUGUGCAAAUAAUGGUUCUUCUUCAACUACUGUUGCUUGAUAUCUGCGAGCACUGCACUCACUGGAUCCUUUGUUUAUUUGUUGCAAAUCUGCAUUUCUGGGGGUUUUCUUGCACUGUCUUUUGAAUGAUAUAUUUAGUAUUCUCGAGCAUGGUAGCUAAACCGUAUGGUAUCUGUAUCUCUGAGUUUAAUCGACUGUUUCAGUUCUGCAGAACUGCGUUAAUAACACAUUGAAAAGAAGUGAUCUUACUUUUAUCUGCGUUAACACCCGUUUGUUUUCUUUGAAAGGACUGUAUUUGUUAGCAAAAUGAGAGGAGUGACGACUCACAGGCACAGCACUCACAGGCUUGCUUAACCUGAGAAUUAUUGACAAACAGAACUUAUUAUGAUACUAAAGCAAAGUGCAAUCAUGUAAGUUACUUUGCAAUUCUACUUCCUUCCAACUUAUUAUGGUCUCAAUAUGAAAUUUGGAAUUUAAACAUUUGCAAAUAUAUAUGCCCUACAGCUUUAUCUGCAAAGCCUCUUCAGAAAAGGGGAAAAACAAGACAACCUUCAACAGCAGGAAAUGAAAGAAAAAGAAAAUAACACAGAGAUCAGAUCAUUCACAGAAUAAAUUAAUACAAACACUGAAUCUAGAAAUGAAGAAGAAGAGAUGCAGAGAGAGCAAAAAAAAAAAAAAAUUUAAAUUUCAGACAUAAGAAAUUCAACUUUUACACACAUGUCAUGAAUCUAACGUUGAUAGUGUAUACACCGUCAGUGUAGGAAAGAUUAACUCUAAGAAAAAUUUGAAAAAAAAAAUUAAAAUGCUGUACGCAGUAGAUAACAUCAGAUUGACUAUAAGAAAAGGUGCAGUUGGCAAUUUGGUACCAUCGAAAAGGAAGUCAGUAGAGCAGAACUUGAGCCACUCUAGAAAAAAGGGAUAGACAGAGAACAUUCAACAGCAUAAAAUGGAAAAAAAAAUAGAGAAAAUUUAUGAUGACAUUGAACUCCAAAAUAAACAAGAAUAAAGACAGAUAGAGAAAAUAAAGCACUUAAAUCCAUUUUCCCAUCAGACAAACUCAAAAAAAGAGGGGGGGGGGGGGGGGAGGGAGAGAACAUUAUAUGUAGUAAAUUACGCAAAUUAAUUGAAGAAAGGGUGUUGGCAACUCUACACUGCCACAAAGGUAGUUGACAAAGAAAAAAUUAAGCUCAACACAGAAAGACUUAAUAUUGAUUCCUAUGCAAUAUCAAAUUCUAUGCAAGUGGAGAAGCAGAUCAUUUUGGGGAAAAAGGUCAAAGAAAAGGGAUACUUGGUAACAUUAGAGGAAGGGGACAAAAGACGUACAUGAUCAUCAGAUCCUGUCGACGAUCUGUUGUAGUAAUAAAUGGGUCAAGGGCAUUUUUGGUGUAGGAAUUGUCCCAUUCUAAUGAUUCCCACCAUUCUUUAUCUCCCCUGAUUUUGUGAAGAGUAGUGGGAACAGAUGGUAGUCCGUUGAUGGUGGAAAGAAACGAAGGCAGCCUCUUUAAAUUUGGACAAUUAAAUAUUGCGAUCUCCUUGAUUGAAUCGCAGAUCAAGGCUGCCUUGCAAAUGUUCUUCAGUUGCGGCAGCCGCCCCAGAUGCAACAGCCUUAAUUUCGGAAGGACGACAGUGGCGGUGGCUCCUUCACUUGAAGUCAAUUGGGUGCCUUCUCCUCCUCCUUGUCCUACUCCAUUGCCAUCUGCUGCUAUCUCCUCCAGUCCUUCACAUUCUAUAACUGUUAAUGUUUCAAGAUUUUGAAGGCUCUGCAGCAACUGCACUGUGAAUAGCUGCUUCAUGUUGUGACAUUUAGAAAUGCUCAAUUUUUUAAGGGAAGAAAAGGUGCCAGCUGGAAGCAAAUAUGGUGGUCCGUCGAUGGCAGAAAGAAACGAAGGCAGCCUCUUUAAAUUUGGACAACCGAAUAUUGCAAUAUCCUCAAUUGAUUCGCAGAUCAUGGCUGCCUUGCAAACGUUCUUCAGUUGUGGCAGGUUACGCAGAUGCAACCGCCUCAAUUUCGGACGGUUGAUGACAGUGGCGGUGGCUCCUUCACAUGAGGUCAAUUGGGUGCCUUCUCCUCCUCCUUGUCCUACUCCAUUGCCAUCUGCUGCUAUCUCCUCCAGUCCUUCACAAUUGCAAACGUGUAAUUCUUCAAGAUUUUGAAGGCUCUGCAGCA
rnacentral:lncRNA from 1 species